AUUCUUUCGCGCACGUCGUCCGUUCGAUAACGUGGAUACAGCACGAAUAAAACAAAGUCUAUAAUUAGAGUUGUUUAUUAUAUAUAUAAAUAUUUUACUAACAAUCACGCCACGUUAACUGGUCCCGUGACAAGUUCGUAAAGAACUUGUGUUACAGAUACCAGAUAACGGAUAUAAAUGCACUACUGCUACUGUUGAAAUGGUAUUUUCACUAGGAAAUGAUUAUUGGACAACUUUCUGUAAAAACAAUAUCUGCCGUCUUAACAGUCAAAUUUAAUAAGCAAAAUGAAAGUUGUUCGGAUGUGGCUUCAUUAUUAGACGAACAUCCUCAUUUAGCAAAAAAAAAUCACUCCGAAGAAAAAUAUAUUUUUAAAAGAGAAUAAAGUUUUUAUCGUUU